GGGGAUGUAGCUCAGUGGUAGAGCGCACGCUUUGCAUGUGUGAGGCCCCGGGUUGAAUCCCCGGCAUCUCCA
rnacentral:tRNA from 1 species